UGGGGAAUUUUUCGCAAUGGGGGAAACCCUGACGAAGCAACGCCGCGUGGAGGAUGAAGGCCUUCGGGUCGUAAACUCCUGUCGACUGGGAAGAAUGCACUCGACCUAAUACGUCGCGGUGUUGACUGUACCGGUGGAGGAAGCCACGGCUAACUCUGUGCCAGCAGCCGCGGUAAUACAGAGGUGGCAAGCGUUGUUCGGAAUUACUGGGCGUAAAGGGCGCGUAGGCGGCCCGCCAAGUCCCGUGUGAAAGCCCUCGGCUCAACCGAGGAACGGCGCGGGAAACUAGCAGGCUUGAGUUCGGGAGAGGGAAGCGGAAUUCCGGGUGUAGCGGUGAAAUGCGCAGAUAUCCGGAGGAACACCGGUGGCGAAGGCGGCUUCCUGGACCGACACUGACGCUGAGGCGCGAAAGCUAGGGGAGCAAACGGG
rnacentral:rRNA from 1 species